AAGCAUGUCAGAAGGACACCUUCUAAGUAAUUGCUUGUAUCUUUCCCAAGCUUCAUAGAGGGAUUCACCUUCCUUUUGUCUAAAUGUUUGGAUUUCCACUCUAAGCUU